UGCAAGUCGAGGGGCAGCAUCAUCAAAGCUUGCUUUGAUGGAUGGCGACCGGCGCACGGGUGAGUAACACGUAUCCAACCUGCCGACAACACUGGGAUAGCCUUUCGAAAGAAAGAUUAAUACCGGAUGGUAUAGUUUUCCCGCAUGGGAUGAUUAUUAAAGAAUUUCGGUUGUCGAUGGGGAUGCGUUCCAUUAGGCAGUUGGCGGGGUAACGGCCCACCAAACCUACGAUGGAUAGGGGUUCUGAGAGGAAGGUCCCCCACAUUGGAACUGAGACACGGUCCAAACUCCUACGGGAGGCAGCAGUGAGGAAUAUUGGUCAAUGGACGAGAGUCUGAACCAGCCAAGUAGCGUGAAGGAUGACUGCCCUAUGGGUUGUAAACUUCUUUUAUACGGGAAUAAAGUGAGCCACGUGUGGCUUUUUGUAUGUACCGUAUGAAUAAGGAUCGGCUAACUCCGUGCCAGCAGCCGCGGUAAUACGGAGGAUCCGAGCGUUAUCCGGAUUUAUUGGGUUUAAAGGGAGCGUAGGCGGGUUGUUAAGUCAGUUGUGAAAGUUUGCGGCUCAACCGUAAAAUUGCAGUUGAUACUGGCGACCUUGAGUGCAACAGAGGUAGGCGGAAUUCGUGGUGUAGCGGUGAAAUGCUUAGAUAUCACGAAGAACUCCGAUUGCGAAGGCAGCUUACUGGAUUGUAACUGAUGCUGAUGCUCG
rnacentral:rRNA from 1 species